GUGCCGUAGCCAACGCGUUAAGUGUUCCGCAUGGGGACUAUGAGCGCAAGCUUAAAACUCAAAGGAAUUGACGGGGGCCUGCACAAGCAGCGGAGCGUGCGGUUCACUUCGAUGCGACACGAAGAACCUUACCAGGGUUUGACAUGGACGUGGUAGCGACCUGAAAAGGAAGCGACUCGCAAGAGAGCGUUCACAGGUGAUGCAUGGCUGUCGUCAGCUCGUGCCCUGAGGUGUUGGGUUAAGUCCCGCAACGAGCGCAACCCCUGUUGCCAGUUACAAGUGUCUGGCGAGACUGCCGGCUAUUGGUCGGAGGAAGGCGGGGAUGACGUCAAGUCAGCAUGUCCUUUAUAUCCUGGGCAACACGCACGCUACAAUGGAUGUAGAUAAAGCGUCGCCAAGCCGAAAGGCGGAGCAAAUCGCACAAAAGCAUCCACAGUUCAGAUUGCCGGCUGCAACCCGCCGGCAUGAAGUCGGAGUUGCUAGUAAACGCGCGUCAGCCAUAGUGCGUUGAAUACGUUCCCGGGCCUUGUACACACCGCCCGUCACGUCAUGGAAGUCGGCAACACCUGAAGUCGGUGAGCGAACCGCAAGGACGCAGCCGCCGAAGGUGGGGCUGGUAACUGGGACGAAGUGGUAACAAGGUAGCUGUACCGGAAGGUGCGGCUGGAUC
rnacentral:rRNA from 1 species